UUUUUUUUGGCAAGAACUAUCUGUUGACCGUUGCAAUAAAUGAGCAGACUGUCCGUGUUGGCUAGCAGGAGGCACUAAAGAUCGUUGGUGAAAGAAGGCAGGCCUGCCUGGGAAAUCUGCCCCUUGCCAACAUUUACAGUUCUCAUUACAAUGGAACAAAUUAUUGUCCUCCUGCCUCGCCUCAGGGCGUCUCCGCGGGGUCCUACAGCCCGCCACUCCCGCUGUGCACACGGUAACAGUUACUCUGUUGAGGAGAGGUUACUCAGGCACGGUGGUAUGUUCCUGAAAAGACACAUCACCCCCAUUCGCAGACCUGCCAAGUCUCCUUCAGUUGGAAGGAGACUCCCUCCUGUAGGAUUAAUUUUAAGGUUGGCUUUAAAGUCUCCCCCUCUUUUGCUGGUGUGAUUGGUCUAUGUGUUAGAAGUCUCCCCCUCUAGUGAUAAGUGAUCUGGAUGAAGCUUCUCCUUGCUCAUGGAGGGUUGUAUAGUGUGUGUGCUAGUGAUUUCUGUUACACACAGGGUGGUGGUGGCUUAUUCUGAAAAAGAACUUGAACGUGUAAUAAGAGUAGAGAAAUUCUUUAUUGGUUUCAUAAUAUUGUAGGUUAUUUCUGAUGCUCAGGGCUAUUACUUUACAGCGUUUAAAAGAUUAACGAACAAAAUUGGUUUUGUUUUUUUUUUUUUAAAGAUAUCUUCCUCAUUCACAUUGUCAACAGUUGUCUGGGAAACAAAAAAAACCCCACACAGUACAUUAUGCCCAUCAAACCCCUGGCCUGCCACUGAAAUACAUAUAAAUGCAGCAAUGGAUGCAUCUUAGGGCUUCUCCCAGGGAAGGGAGAAAGAAAGGCCCCGAUCCUGGAAACACAAAGCUGCCUGCAUUUUACACACACAGUUCUAUUGAAAUCAGGGGGAAUACUCAUAGGCAUAAAGUAACUCGUAUGUGUCAGGCCCUAAUUCUGCAAUUUUUUCCACUCACGAUUCUUCUUCCAUGGAAGAAUUUUCAGGAUCAGGGCCUAAGCUUGGGCCUUUGCCAACAAAAAACAAAGACAAAACCACACUCACAAACCACACAGAGCUGUGCAAAUUUGAAUUUGUAAAUAGUGACUGUUCUAGUGCAGGGGUUCCCAACCUUUUGCUUUUGAGGCCCUCCCUGCCCCUCCCCCCCCGACAUGCUAUAAAAAGUCCAUGGCCCCCUGUGGUAUAACAACUGCUUUUGUACAUAUAAAAGCCAGGGCCUGCGUUAGGAGAUAGCAAGCCGGCCAAUUGGCUGGGGAGCACUGCAAAGCUAAGUUGCUCAGGCUUCAGCCCUAAGUGGUGCAGCUUUAGCUUUCUGCCCUGGGCCCUAGUGAGUCUAAUGUUGGCCAUGCUUUGCAGACCCCCUGAACCCUGCUCACAGCCUCCCCACCCCCCAGGGGACUCCGCACUCCUGGUUGAGAGCCACUCUUCUUGAGGGUUUAAAGACAGUAGUUACAUCAUGAAGUAGGGGGACCAGAUAGCAACUGUGAAAAAACAGGACAGGGGGUGGGGGGCAGUAGGCACCUAUAUAAUAAAAAGUCCCCAAAAAUGGGACUGUCCCUUUAAAAACAGGACAUCUGGUCACCCUACCAUGAAGGGUAUCUUCAGAUCACAUAUGGGUUUGAAAGAUUUAUACAGUCUGACUUGGAAUGGGAUAGGACAAAUCCUUUUCGCCUCCUGCCUCUCCUCAGACUUAAGAUAUUCCCCCACCUCCACCAAAAGGUGUCAAAACAUUCUCAGAACUCUGUUUCUCUCAUUUCUCAGAGUUUUGAUUUGCAUUUCUCACCCCCACUAAAAAAUUCUAUGAAUUGAGCUCUGUGGAGGACACACAGACAAGGAGAGCGUCUGAGAGGUUCUCUCUUGGUUAUUUGGAACUUUCAUUCAAAUCCUACUGAAGAACAAAUUAUCUUCCUUUACAUAGGGAGUUAAAGGACAGAGGCAUCACACGAACCAUGAGGCUAUACCCUGCUAAAUCCUUGGUUUUGCAAAUUCAUGGCAGAGAGUCACCAGUUUCCCCAUAAACACCUGCCAGAGCAACUCUGAAUCUGGAGGUUUGGGGAUCAUGAACUCUGACAUCUUUGACUAGUGGCUCUUGAGGAGAUGAUUAACAACAAGUAUGGCAGAAGAUGGAGAAAACAGCCUGCAGAAUAAGAGCCCUCAAAGGAAUAUUCGGAAGGAUGUGGUGCAAACUUAAUUGUGAUUUUGGACUUUCCACAUAGGUGGGAUUGUGAGAAGUGAAAUUAUGUAUUACAGAGCUGAAACUUCUGGUAUAUUUUGAGGGCUACAAUUAACGCACAAUAUUAUCACAAAUCUCUAAAAUGUUGUUAAUGAAUAGAUUGGAAGAAAUAACAUUUAGUAAAUUACUAAAGAUCGAUACAUGUAAGAGCAAGUGGAGCAUUAUGGGCCACAAAACGAAGACAGAAGCCUCCCAAAUUAUACCCCUCCACAGAGGCCAGCCAUAAAUGCACCCCCUGUGCUCUCUGAGUGCAGGGAUGCUCCCUGCCAUCACCCCCAGGGCACUAGAUACCCCAAAAAGGGGUGUGAGGAGGCAGAACCAAGACCUACACACACUGGGCAGAAGAACUGGUGUCCAUCCAAGGCAAUGUAAGCUGCACUCCAUAAAGGGGGAUAAUAGAGGGUGUGUUCUCUCUUCCCUCUCCCUCAGUGCUCAUAACAGCCCCCAGAAGCAUUGUUUCUCCCUGCAGGGGAGAGCCUCCUGUUGCUUCUGCUAGGACAGUACAGCUCCAGACCAUUCACUAAGUAGGGCUACAGCCCCUAUUCACUCAAGUCAUUUUAGGGGGAAGAACAUUGUCCAUGUUUGUGCAUAUUGCACAAGGCAUGAUGUACCACAAACUCAAUAUUAUGAUGCUAAUUAGGAAGUGCAAAGUCUUGGCACUGGAUCCCAGGGAAUCAGUGAAUUCUAAACUGAAAUGUGUUGUACCUUUUAGAUCUCAUGUGCAUCUCCUUCUCCGAAAUGAACCUUUCCUUUGGUUUGAACAGGUUAUCUCAAUAAAAGAAACAUAUAGUUAA